AUAUACAUACAUACACUUCAUAAUAUACUUCAUCAUAAUAUUUGGUUUAUUUCCUAAUUUGAUUACAGUGUUCGAUGACCAGAGUUGUUGUGCAAUGUGUGCGGCCUACAAGCCCCCAGUUUCGUGGACCUCAAAUGACAGACUGGAUCCAGUGUAACAGUUGUGACAAAUGGUUCCAUGCCCUGUGCCUAGACAUCAAGAGCAAACAAUAUGAAAAGGCAAAGAGAGGCAGCUGGAAAUGUCUGUUGUGCACCUAAUGAAAAAAUCUUUCUACCCUGUUCAAUGUAGUUCAAAAGAGAGAAUUUAAAAUUAUAUGUAGAAAAUAAAACUGUACUUCGUUUCAAUAGCA